rnacentral:tRNA from 1 species
GCCAGGUUGCCCGAGCGGCCAAAGGGAGCGGACUGUAAAUCCGCCGGCAUUGCCUACGUUGGUUCGAAUCCAUCACCUGGCACCA